GUGAGCAAUCUGCCCCUGACUCUGGGAUAAGCGCUGGAAACGGCGUCUAAUACCGGAUACGAGCUGCGAAGGCAUCUUCAGCAGCUGGAAAGAACUUCGGUCAGGGAUGAGCUCGCGGCCUAUCAGCUUGUUGGUGAGGUAACGGCUCACCAAGGCGUCGACGGGUAGCCGGCCUGAGAGGGUGACCGGCCACACUGGGACUGAGACACGGCCCAGACUCCUACGGGAGGCAGCAGUGGGGAAUAUUGCACAAUGGGCGAAAGCCUGAUGCAGCAACGCCGCGUGAGGGACGACGGCCUUCGGGUUGUAAACCUCUUUUAGCAGGGAAGAAGCGAAAGUGACGGUACCUGCAGAAAAAGCACCGGCUAACUACGUGCCAGCAGCCGCGGUAAUACGUAGGGUGCAAGCGUUAUCCGGAAUUAUUGGGCGUAAAGAGCUCGUAGGCGGUUUGUCACGUCUGCUGUGAAAACGCGAGGCUCAACCUCGCGCCUGCAGUGGGUACGGGCAGACUAGAGUGCGGUAGGGGAGAUUGGAAUUCCUGGUGUAGCGGUGGAAUGCGCAGAUAUCAGGAGGAACACCGAUGGCGAAGGCAGAUCUCUGGGCCGUAACUGACGCUGAGGAGCGAAAGGGUGGGGAGCAAACAGGCUUAGAUACCCUGGUAGUCCACCCCGUAAACGUUGGGAACUAGUUGUGGGGUCCAUUCCACGGAUUCCGUGACGCAGCUAACGCAUUAAGUUCCCCGCCUGGGGAGUACGGCCGCAAGGCUAAAACUCAAAGGAAUUGACGGGGACCCGCACAAGCGGCGGAGCAUGCGGAUUAAUUCGAUGCAACGCGAAGAACCUUACCAAGGCUUGACAUAUACGAGAACGGGCCAGAAAUGGUCAACUCUUUGGACACUCGUAAACAGGUGGUGCAUGGUUGUCGUCAGCUCGUGUCGUGAGAUGUUGGGUUAAGUCCCGCAACGAGCGCAACCCUCGUUCUAUGUUGCCAGCACGUAAUGGUGGGAACUCAUGGGAUACUGCCGGGGUCAACUCGGAGGAAGGUGGGGAUGACGUCAAAUCAUCAUGCCCCUUAUGUCUUGGGCUUCACGCAUGCUACAAUGGCCGGUACAAAGGGCUGCAAUACCGUAAGGUGGAGCGAAUCCCAAAAAGCCGGUCCCAGUUCGUAGAGUUGUUCCUGGCUCAGCACACACCGCCCGUAGAGUUGAUCCUG
rnacentral:rRNA from 1 species